AAGAAGCGUGUCCUCAACUCUCCAUUAGAUAUGGAUUACAUCAGCAAAAGAAAAGAACUAGAACACCAUGAAAACUUAUUACAUAGUACUCUGCAGUCUGCACACCAAAAUAUGCCAGUAGAGUAUGGCAUAUUCCAUUGUUCUCAGAAGCACAAUUUUGAUCUAAUUGAUCCGAUAGCAAUUCAUGUCCAGUUUCCUUAUGCAACACACAGACCUCAGCUUCACAUUCUUCUGUUUUAUCACCUGCCGCGUUAGAGAUUAGAGUUGAUCCCGAACUGUAUUCAGAGCUGGCUGGGGAUGACUCAUAUACAUCAUGCUCCCUGCGCCAAAAUCAAAUUUAGAUACUGUGGAGGAAAUCUUGAAGGACCUGCGCCAUAUUAAACCCGAAACUUAAGAUCUUUAUAAGAUGUGAAUCAUUGUCAUCAGAACACACAGGUUGGCAGAUUUCGGAGACAGCAUGUCAUUGUGCGGAAACCUCAAAUUUGUUAUAGCUUUAUCUUUUCAUCUUAGCAGAUUAUAUUUCAAAAUGAUGUCGUGUUGGUAUUCUCACAGCUGAAUCUCACAUUAAACCACAGAGAAUUUUCAUCAAUGA